GCAACAAGUCGUCUCGGCGUGGGAAUGUGUCGACGGUGGGCGUGGACAUCGGCAGCUGGGUGUACGAGAAGCACCGCUCCUCGCGAGGACCUGUCACCUUCCGCACAUGGGACUUCGGGGGACAACAGGAGUACUACGCGACGCACCAGUACUUCCUGUCGCGGCGCUCGCUGUACCUGGUGGUGUGGCGCUGCACUGACGGCCGCCGCGGACUGGCCGGCGCACUGGCCUGGCUCAGGUCUAUACAAGCGCGUGCUCCUGGCUCGCCUGUCAUCUUGGUGGCUACGCACUAUGACCAAGUCGCCAAUGUAA